rnacentral:lncRNA from 1 species
UCACAAACUAGUAAAUGCACAAGUAAAUUACAUCCUACACAUAAUUACACCCUGAUCUAGCAUUAUCCAAAGAGGAAGAAUUACCUACACAUAAAAAUAGUAAAAAAGACAUACUUAAUGACCUCCAUUGAUUAGAUUUAUGAAAGUCUAAGUGAAUGUAGCUUCACAAUUUGAACAUCCAUAAAUCUUUAAUGGGGUUAGCUAAUCCUUCACUUGGAAUAUACUCCAAUGUAUUUUUCGCCAAAAAUUAAUAUAAUAUUUUUUCUCCAAGUAUGAAGGCUAAGUACUAGACAAAGUUCCCUAAAAUUGGGAAUCGUAGAAUGAAUAAUGAAUGAUAGGGUUUGAGUAAUCUUUUGGAACAAUUUGGGAACAAAUGUGUGCAUUUACAUUUUUUCCCUUAGGCUAAUUUUCCACUAGUCCGCUAUCAUAUCUACCGCGACCGUGGGAAAUGCCACACAAUUUUGGUAUCUCAACCAUCUUGACUGAUCGCGAUCAUGAUAACUGAGGCCAUGUUCUGAUCCUGGUCUUUAGCUAUACUUCUUUGCUCCCUUUUGUUCUUUUUUAUCUCUACUCCACAUCUUUUCAUAUUGUCAUCUUGGUGCCUGGAAAAUGUGAAUAUUAGUGUAUAUAAUCAUAAUUAUGUCUCACUUAUUCAUCCAAAACAUGGUAUUGUGCAUGAAUGUGGAAUACAAUUGAGUGAUAAAUUCACCACUCAUCAACACCCCUAACAUAAAGCUUUGGUUGUUCUCAAGCAACACUAUCUCUUACUAUGAGACAAUAUACAUUUAUGCCCAAUGUAGAUAGCCUAAUGAUCACAUUGAUUUUAAGCUUAGUCACACCCACAAGUAGCUCUUUGCACAUGGGCCAAGUUAUUCUCAAUUCACCCCUCAACAUAAAAAGCAAUAUCUAAUGAUGCAAAAGACUUCAAAGAGCAACAAUGCAACAACAACCAAUACUUGAGAAAUGACUCAUAUUUUACCAUUGCUAACCUACAUUCCUUUUGCCUCAUUUCUUGGAAGGUGAUAAAAUCAACUACCUCAAGUUGUUCAUGUUCCUCCUAAAAAGAAGAAAAAUUCCACACCCCUAUCUAACAAAAAUGAAACAAGGAAUUGUAAGUACAAAACUCUCCCCCUCACAAUAAAUCUCUAUGCUAAUAAGUGUCAUACCAUAGGAUUCCCCCCAUUUUCAAUCACCACUACCAUAAAAAAAAUGUUCGAAGACCUCAAAGGUUUUGUUGAGAUUGUAAUGUUUAUUCGGGUUAGGGUAGGAUAUCAUUUAGGAAAAAUAUGGUUACACCCUCCUUGAACAUCUACAUCAUAUUAUUUAAUCAAUACUUUAACUAUGGGUCACUUCCCCUUGUUUUCCUUUUUUUGAUUACACAAGUGCGUACUAUUGCUACUUUGUUUCACCCAUUUUCUUUCUUUUCUCUUUCUUGCAAAUUUUGUGUAAUUCCUUUCUUUGUUGGGUCCUUUCUUUUUUUCUCUAAUCAUUGGUUUUUAAUGUUUAACAUCUUAGAAUCUUACUAACAACAUCAUGGACCAAAGUUAAUUCCUUCAAUUUUUACCACCCCCAACUUGGGAUUUUAGCCUCAAUUUACAUUUUUAAGUUCAAGGAUGGUAUGGUUCAAAAGAGGGAUAACAAUUGAAUGGCUCACAACUUGUAAAGUGUUUUCCAAAGAAAGGUCCAAAGGCUCAAAGUUGGUGACUAGGGAUAACAUUUAUACACGAGUAGGAUUUUUAGGUUAAGUGGGCUUCCAAUGUCACAACAAUGGACUAAGAUCAUCUCAUCAACAAAAUACAAUCAAAAUUAGCUCAAGAGAGACCAAUGGGGAAAGUUCUAGAUGACAUAAGUACACAUGAGAUUUAGACAAAAAAACUCACCGCACAUGUUAUGUGAACUUGCCAAGGAGGCUUAAUUUCCCCUUAUGUUAGAGACAAAUAUAGAGUAUCUGUCAAUAAGUACAAGCCAAAGAUUUUG